rnacentral:rRNA from 1 species
CUAGCGGCGCGCUUAAUGCAUGCAAGUCGACGCGAUGAGGUCUCCUUCGGGGGGCACAUCAGCGGCAGACGGGUGAGUAACACGUAGGUAACCUACCCCAGAGACAGGGAUAACCCUAGGAAACGAGGGCUAAUACCGGAUGACCUCCGGAAGGAGGAAAGGCUCAGGCGCUCUGGGAGGGGCUUGCGGCCCAUCAGCUAGUUGGUAGGGUAAAGGCCUACCAAGGCGAAGACGGGUAGGGGGUGUGAGAGCACGGCCCCCCACAAUGGGACUGAAACACGGCCCAUACUCCUACGGGGGGCAGCAGCAGGGAAUAUUGCACAAUAGGCGAAAGCCUGAUGCAGCGACGCCGCGUGAGUGAAGAAGGCCUUCGGGUCGUAAAGCUCUUUUGUAGGGGAAGAGGAAGGACGGUACACUAAGAAGAAGCGUCGGCUAACUACGUGCCAGCCAGCCGCGGUAAGACGUAAGACGCGAGCGUUAUCCGGAAUUACUGGGCGUACAGG